rnacentral:piRNA from 1 species
UGCCAAGCUCAGUCCUGUAGGAUCAGAGU